rnacentral:rRNA from 2 species
AGAGUUUGAUCCUGGCUCAGGAUGAACGCUGACAGAAUGCUUAACACAUGCAAGUCUACUUGAACUUCGGUUUGGGUGGCGGACGGGUGAGUAACGCGUAAAGAACUUGCCUCACAGUUAGGGACAACAUUUGGAAACGAAUGCUAAUACCUGAUAUUAUGAUUUUAGGGCAUCCUAAGAUUAUGAAAGCUAUAUGCGCUGUGAGAGAGCUUUGCGUCCCAUUAGCUAGUUGGAGAGGUAACGGCUCACCAAGGCGAUGAUGGGUAGCCGGCCUGAGAGGGUGAACGGCCACAAGGGGACUGAGACACGGCCCUUACUCCUACGGGAGGCAGCAGUGGGGAAUAUUGGACAAUGGACCAAAAGUCUGAUCCAGCAAUUCUGUGUGCACGAUGACGUUUUUCGGAAUGUAAAGUGCUUUCAGUUGGGAAGAAAAAAAUGACGGUACCAACAGAAGAAGUGACGGCUAAAUACGUGCCAGCAGCCGCGGUAAUACGUAUGUCACAAGCGUUAUCCGGAUUUAUUGGGCGUAAAGCGCGUCUAGGUGGUUAUGUAAGUCUGAUGUGAAAAUGCAGGGCUCAACUCUGUAUUGCGUUGGAAACUGCAUGACUAGAGUACUGGAGAGGUAAGCGGAACUACAAGUGUAGAGGUGAAAUUCGUAGAUAUUUGUAGGAAUGCCGAUGGGGAAGCCAGCUUACUGGACAGAUACUGACGCUAAAGCGCGAAAGCGUGGGUAGCAAACAGGAUUAGAUACCCUGGUAGUCCACGCCGUAAACG